rnacentral:rRNA from 1 species
GAUGAACGCUAGCUACAGGCUUAACUCAUGCAAGUCGAGGGACCGGCGCACGGGUGAGUAACAUGUCUCCAACUUGCUCUUUACUCGGGGCUAGCCUUUCGCCAGACAGAUUAAUACCCGAUAUAAAGGAUGGGGAUGCGUUCCAUUAGGUUGUUGGUGAGGUAACGGCCCACCAAGCCUUCGAUGGAUAGGGGUUCUGAGAGGAAGGUCCCCCACAUUGGAACUGAGACACAGUCCAAACUCCUAGGGGAGGCAGAAGUAAGGGAUAAUGGUCAAUGGGCGUUAGCCUUAGCCAGCCAAGUAGGGUGAAAGAUGAAGGCUUAUGUGUCGUAAACGACUUUUAUAAAAGGAUAUAUAUUAUAUUAAUAAGGAGCGGCUAACUCCGUACCAGCAGCCGCGGUAAUAC